GAUGAAGAACGUAGCGAAAUGCGAUACGUAAUGUGAAUUGCAGAAUUCAGUGAAUCAUCGAAUCUUUGAACGCAUAUUGCGCUCUUUGGUAUUCCGAAGAGCAUGCUUGUUUGAGUAUCAGUAAACACCUCAACCUCUUCUUGAUUUUUCAAAAGGAGGGUGGACUUGAGCUAUCCCAACAACCUUUACCGGUCGGCGGGCGGCUUGAAAUGCAGGUGCAGCUGGACUUUUAUCUGAGCUAAAAGCAUAUCUAUUUAGUCCUCGUCAAACAGGAUUAUUACUUUUGCUGCAGCUAACAUAAAGGAUAAUUGUCCUCUUUGCUGACUGAUGCAGGAUUUUACGACACUUUAUGUGUUAUUCAACUCGAUCUCAAAUCAAGUAAGACUACCCGCUGAACUUAAGCAUAUCAAUAAGCGGAGGA
rnacentral:misc_RNA from 1 species